rnacentral:rRNA from 1 species
GACGAACGCUGGCGGCGUGCCUAAUACAUGCAAGUCGAGCGGAACUGGGGGAGCUUGCUCCUUCCAUUUUAGCGGCGGACGGGUGAGUAACACGUGGGCAACCUGCCCUGCAGAUCGGGAUAACUCCGGGAAACCGGUGCUAAUACCGAAUAGUUUGGCGCCUCUCCUGAGGCGCUACGGAAAGACGGUUUCGUCUGUCACUGCAGGAUGGGCCCGCGGCGCAUUAGCUAGUUGGUGGGGUAACGGCCCACCAAGGCGACGAUGCGUAGCCGACCUGAGAGGGUGACCGGCCACACUGGGACUGAGACACGGCCCAGACUCCUACGGGAGGCGGCAGUAGGGAAUCUUCCGCAAUGGACGCAAGUCUGACGGAGCAACGCCGCGUGAGUGACGAAGGUUUUCGGAUCGUAAAACUCUGUUGUGAGGGAAGAACACGUACCAACUAACUAUUUGUACCUUGACGGUACCUCACCAGAAAGCCACGGCUAACUACGUGCCAGCCGCCGCAGUAA